GAUCACAGUAUUAUGUUAAUCGUAUCCCAUAUAUUAUACGUUAACCUGAAGAGUGACGACGCUCUUCAAAAAUCUUUCUAAUUGUCACAGCCAUUGUAGAACAAAGUUUUUUUAUCCUUUGUAUAUACUGAUCAUUCUUCAUUCCAAUAAAAACAUUUCAUCAAUUAAUUUCAUAAUUUCAUAAAUUCCAUCCAGUCUCUGUGUUACGCGUGACAACUGUUUAGAUCUUUAUUUGAAAUCGCAGAAGCCUAUGAGGCUGUAGACAACACCUUGUUUUCCUGUAGUAAAGACCGAUGGUAGUUUUCACACUAAUUGUUAAUGUCUGCAAGAUCGCUUCGCUACUGAAAUAAUAGAUAAGUGUCGAUAGAAAAUGUGUCGAGAUGCGACGUAAUCGAUUAGAUUAGACGUAUGGUUUAUCAGAGAUACGAUGGACCUUGCACAUUCGCAGCUAGCCUAUCUUUUUCUGUGUUUGUCCUAUAAAAGUGAACGAAAAAAAUGUCCUAUCGUCAACACAAGAAGUGGAUCACGAUACGAUUAUACUGAGACUUGCCCUUGGCUCCGUAACAGUUAGUGCUUUUGCCUGUGAAAGUGAAAUACAUGCAGGUGGUAUAGCAGACGGAAUAAAACAAAAAAGUGAUAAGGCAAAGGAGAAGAAAAAAUGUCGAAAUAUUUCGCGGCUGAAUAACAAAAAAAAAUAAAGACUAUUUAUUAACGGUAGUGAUAUUGGGAAAUUCUAUUGGUAAGAUUGAAGAACUAUGAAGGAAAAAGUGACAUUAGUGCCACCCGACGGUGGUUGGGGUUGGUUUGUAGUAAUCGGUUAUGCAUUAAGUAAUAUUGUCACAAUUCCAAUUAUGCAAGGAUUCGGAUUGCUUUACAAGGAUACUUUUGACAGUAAGGGUAUAUCAGCGACUGAAGCUGCUACCAUAAUAAAUAUCAACUCAGCAUUCGGCAUGAUAUUUGGUCUGGUGAAUGGAGUUUUUUUACAAAUUUAUGGAUACAGAAAACUAGCAAUUGCUGGAUCGCUGACGUAUAGCCUUGGAAUUAUUCUUACGUUUUUCGCAUCGAGCUUCACUGGCUUCAUUGUUACAUACGGCGUUAUGGCAUCACUUGGAACAGGAUUCUUAAUGUCAUCGUUUUCACUGGCUCUCAACACUUAUUUUCGUCAAAAAAGAAAUCGCGCUGCGGGCAUAAGCAUGACUAUCACCGGUCUGGGUCCUAUUGUGAUGCCCCAAGUCAUAACUUUGCUUCUUGGUAUCUACGGUGCCUCGGGAGCUGUGCUCAUCCUGGGUGGCUUCUGUCUUCACUCCCUAGUUGGAGCAUUGCUUCUGCAACCCGUGAAGUGGCAUGCCAAGAAAGCAGUUGAACCAUCCACGCCCCAGGAAUUGAUUCCACCUGAGGAUCAAGAUAAAUACUUCGAGGAUGAAAUGACACAAGAGCAAACUGAAAAUGAAAAUAUCUCGGGCUCGGCUGAAGUUAUUGGGGUACGUCGAAAAAGGACCCUGACCAUGAGCAGUAUUGAUCAUGAUGUGGAAACUGCAAGUAUUUAUGGUUUUGAGACACCACUUCCAAGAAAGAAGUCGACCAGUGUUAUGCCACAUAUGACUGUACCACGUUCAGAUUCGGAUAUCGAGACAGAAUCUCCUUGCUCUUCAUCCCUUCUGACCUAUCGAAGGAGCAUCAGUCAACCAAAUAAACAACCUGCUACUCCGACUGACAUUUGCGAAACGUCAAGUCCAUCGGUAUUCACAUACCAUUGGUGGAAUUCGGAAAAAAGUCUCGAUACGAUAUACCUUGGUAGCAGCAUCAAAAUCUUCGACGACACGUCAUCCAGAAUACUUGGAAAAGGCAACAGCCGUUCUGAUCUUCAAAAGGAGAAGAGCUUUAGCUUGAAGAAAAAUAAUAGUGUUAGUGUGCUAGGGGAAAAAAAAUCAUUAGUCGAACCACUUGAAGAGGCUGACGAAGAGGAAGAAGAGCAAUUAGACAAAAAGGAAAAAAAGAUAUUGGUACACGAGAAGGAAGAAGAUCCAAAGAAAAAUGAGCAAGGGUCAAUCUUUCGCCAAUUGAUCAACAGAAUCGUCAUAAUCUGCGAUAUGGAUCUACUGCGCGAUCCAAUUUAUGUAAAUUUAAUGUUUGGCAUGUCUAUAGCUAUUUUUGCAGAAAUUAAUUUCUCACAACUGACGCCAUUAAUCUUAAGAGAUUUUCAAUUCAGCGAUGUACAAAUUUCUGCAGUGAUGAGCACAAUUGCAUCUGUAGACCUUGUUUUUCGUGGAGUCUCACCUUUCAUGGCUGAAUGGCUGAACAAAUCCUCCAGGACCAUGUACCUCUUCAGUCUCGUAUUGCUGGUGAUUGCACGAACAACACUGAUACUUACCAGUUCAUUCUCUUCGGUAAUCAUGGUGGCAAUUGGUCUUGGAGUUGCAAAAGGUAUUCGUUCCGUUAACAUGAUUUUGGUAAUUCCUUCUUACGUACCAUUCGAAAAAUUAGCAUCUGCUUCCGGUAUCCAAAUGGUUGUUAACGGAAUAUUUUUAUUGUGCGCUGGACCAUUUCUGGGUAUGUUGACGCAAUUUUAUUAUUAUUAUAAUAUUCCUUCUUACUGUAUUGUCGGUAGUAUUUUUAUUUUUAUUCAUUUUUUUCAAAUCCCUUCAAAUCCAGGAGUUAUCAGGGACAGAACCGGCAGUUACAUCAUAUGUAUUAUUGUUUUGAACUGUCUUACCUUGUUGACCAUCACCAUGUGGAUUACAGAGCUUAGUAUAGUCAAUCGAUUGAAACGACGAAAGAGGAAUGAAAUACAAAGAAAAGAGUCAACCAAGAAUUAGAAAAAGUAUUCAUCCUUCCAGCGCAAAAAGCAUCUACUAUAAAACCAUCACGUAUAUAGUAACACAUAAUCAGCAGUCCACAGUGUAAGACGUAGGUACAUUGGGACACGAAUAGCCUGGAUAAAAUAUAACCAAUUGAUGCAAAUUCAGGCAAACACACGGUACAAUGACCCUAGUUGAAUCUCAUUGGAAGUCCAGCUUGCAGUCAUUGGAUUUCUCAUUUUCCCUCAGUCAUCAAAACGUGCGUUGCGCAUUUGAUUGAUACGGUGAAAUCGGCGAAAUCAGUGGAAUUGGUUGAUAUUCAUCAUUGCUUAUACGUCUGGCUAUCAUCCAAGAAUGCCACAAUGAGUACUGAUAACUGAUUAUCUUCAG